rnacentral:rRNA from 1 species
UACAGAGGGUGCAAGCGUUGUUCGGAAUUAUUGGGCGUAAAGCGCGUGUAGGCGGCUUUGCAAGUCGGGUGUGAAAGCCCUCAGCUCAACUGAGGAAGUGCGCCCGAAACUGCAGAGCUUGAGUACCGGAGAGGAUGGCGGAAUUCCCCAAGUAGAGGUGAAAUUCGUAGAUAUGGGGAGGAACACCGGUGGCGAAGGCGGCCAUCUGGACGGAUACUGACGCUGAGACGCGAAAGCGUGGGGAGCGAACAGG